AUAAGGCUUAUGUCAGAACAUCAUUUUGUAACUGUUUACCCCAAGCAGAAAACCCUUCUUGAAGAAUGGAAAACCAGAGCAAGCAUGUCCCAUCAUGUCUUUAUCCUGUAGUGAAAGUGAUCUCAUGCAAGACUGCCCAAGAGAGAGACAAUGUUCCAGAAACACCAGAGGAACACGUGCCAGUUUGAAGGCCUCUAGCAGCACUUGUUGAAAACCACAGAAACACCCACCCUGAGGAUCAGAAACCCCAUGGACCAGACCCCACCCAAACCAAAGUAGAAGGACACGGU